CAAAUAAAAAUAGUUGAAAUCACCCUGUAGAAUAUAUACUUAAAAUAUUUUAUCGAAGUAUAUUAUAUUGUGUAUGUGUAUAUUAGAUUACAAACGACAAACGCGUACACUGACCUUGUGCCGAUACACUAUUUCACCUGUCCACAGCCAUAAUGCUUAAUAAUAAUAUCAUUUUUUUUUUUAAUACGUAUUACACCCAUAUAAUAUGUAAUCGUAGUAAUUGGCGCCACGAGAUUUAUAAUAUAUUAUCAUAUCACCUGGCACACAUAGGUACUGCAGUAUAGGUCGUAACCUCUCUCAUAGCUGACCGUCCGCGUGUCUUAUACUAAUGAUACACGGGUAUACGUGCGGACUAUGAAAAAACAAAUCGCGUUAUUCGACUAGUGGGGUUGUACUGAAUGAGUAUUGUAAUGUAUUCCGAUAUAAUAUACUAUACAACGUUUAAAUACUUUUCAAGUUAAACUGACACGGUAUUUUGACAAGGCGUUGAAUACCAACUAUAUACUAUUGUAUUCGAACGCUGCGGAAAUGUACAUAAUAUUAUUAAUUUUUCAAACGGCCGAAACCAAGCAGGCGUAGUUAGAAAACUGAUACGAAUCGAGCUCGUGAAAUUGUACGUCAGUUUUCAAAUACAUCGGUGAUUGAAAAUCUGUUGAAAUUUCGAUCGGUUUAAAAUAAAUCAAACUAUGCGUCAUGUUUUUCAAAGUGUGCUUCAUUUAUACCGUUAAUGUAUCUAUUUAUUUUCUAUUUCAACAUCUAUUUAACAAUGUAACUCGAUUUUGGAUACGAAUCGCGUGAACAUGGUUACUAGGUAUACCUAUUGAAAUACAAGAGAAUCGCUCGUUUUUGUUGAUAUUUGCACAGAAAAACUGAAAAAUAUUAAGUUGCACUAUCUCUCGUCGCCGACAUCCUCGUACGCGCAACUAUUUGUUCGCUGUACUGUUACUUAUCCAAGUGAUCAGUAUAAAGAUUUAUUUUUAUCCAAUCACGCCAGGGUUCGUUGGUUCAACACUGUGUUAUAUUAUUACGGUGACAUGUAAUUAAAUUUUAUUUUCGGCCUUCAAUUGUAAAUAAUAAUGUUGUUAUCGUCGACAGUAUACAAUAUCACUCUACGCCGAACAAUAUUCUUCGAUUUUAGUUCGCACGCGGAGAAUAACAAAAUAUUUCAAUAAAAGUGAAUACAAUAUAAGCCGGAAAUAUUUCGUACUGUCGGUGGGUCACUGUGUUGUGUGGAAGAAUUCGAGAAGGUAUAGGAUAUUUAUAACAACCCAUAAAUCGAUAAAAAUAAAACCACAGUAUCUGUCAUUUGUUAAGUUUUUUUUUUUAAAUUUUUUAGAAGAGCCGUUGGAAAUGUAGAAACAUCUUUCAAAUAAAGUAAAGUAGGGAGAAAAACUUGUC